AACUCUUGAAGAACCCAAGUCAGUCUCCUUUGUCUACACAGCAUUCUUUCACUAAAAAUCCUCUUUGCCAAUUUGGUGGUACAGUUGAAUCGUGGAGGUGCACUUACUUGGCGGCCACACUUAAUGCCAGGUACAUACACCAAUUGGGACACAUUUGAAGACAAGAUGGUAAAGAAACCAAAGACAUGAGUCAUGAAAAACUGCCUAGAGCAAUCAUUAGGAGACCUUGAAGGAUGAUUCUAUCUCCCUAAGAGAAGCUGAACAACUAUUUGGGGUACCUAAAGAGUAACAGUUUUCGAAAAAACGGCUGUACAUGUUUUACAUGCACUAAGGCUUAAAGCUGUCAUGGAAUUUAUAAGACAUAAAGACAUUUAAUGUCUACCUAAUAGGUCCAAUGUCACACUGAAUCUAAACCACUGUGAUAUAAAAUUUCU